rnacentral:rRNA from 1 species
CGCCCUUAGAGUUUGAUCAUGGCUCAGAUUGAACGCUGGCGGCAGGCUUAACACAUGCAAGUCGAACGGUAUAGGUGCUUGCACCUGACGAGUGGCGGACGGGUGAGUAAUGUAUGGGGAUCUGCCGAACGGAUUGGGACAACCACUGGAAACGGUGGCUAAUACCGAAUAAUGUUGAGAGACCAAAGUGUUUCGACAUGCCAUUUGAUGAACCCAUAUGGGAUUAGCUAGUAGGCGGGGUAAUGGCCCACCUAGGCGACGAUCUCUAGCUGGUCUGAGAGGAUGACCAGCCACACUGGGACUGAGACACGGCCCAGACUCCUACGGGAGGCAGCAGUGGGGAAUAUUGCACAAUGGGGGAAACCCUGAUGCAGCCAUGCCGCGUGUAUGAAGAAGGCCUUCGGGUUGUAAAGUGCUUUCGGUAGUGAGGAAGGUUACUAUUAACAUAGUAAAUUGACGUUAAUUACAGAAGAAGCACCGGCUAACUCCGUGCCAGCAGCCGCGGUAAUACGGAGGGUGCGAGCGUUAAUCGGAAUGACUGGGCGUAAAGGGCAUGUAGGUGGAUAAUUAAGUUAGGUGUGAAAGCCCCGAGCUCAACUUGGGAAUUGCACUUAAAACUGGUUAUCUAGA